UACGUAGGGCGCAAGCGUUGUCCGGAAUUAUUGGGCGUAAAGAGCUCGUAGGCGGCCUGUUGCGUCCGCUGUGAAAUCCCGGGGCUUAACCCCGGGCUUGCAGUGGAUACGGGCAGGCUGGAGGCAGGCAGGGGAGAACGGAAUUCCCGGUGUAGCGGUGAAAUGCGCAGAUAUCUGCAGGAACACCCGUGGCGAAAGCGGCGCGCUGGACCACUACUGACGCUGAGGAACGAAAGCUAGGGGAGCAAACAGG
rnacentral:rRNA from 1 species